rnacentral:rRNA from 1 species
GACGAACGCUGGCGGCGUGCCUAAUACAUGCAAGUCGAGCGAGUCUGCCUUGAAGAUCGGAGUGCUUGCACUCUGUGAAACAAGAUACAGGCUAGCGGCGGACGUGUGAGUAACACGUGGGUAACCUGCCCAAGAGAUCGGGAUAACACCUGGAAACAGAUGCUAAUACCGGAUAACAACAGAUGAUGCCUAUCAACUGUUUAAAAGAUGGUUCUGCUAUCACUCUUGGAUGGACCUGCGGUGCAUUAGCUAGUUGGUAGGGUAACGGCCUACCAAGGCGAUGAUGCAUAGCCGAGUUGAGAGACUGAUCGGCCACAUUGGGACUGAGACACGGCCCAAACUCCUACGGGAGGCAGCAGUAGGGAAUCUUCCACAAUGGACGCAAGUCUGAUGGAGCAACGCCGCGUGAGUGAAGAAGGGUUUCGGCUCGUAAAGCUCUGUUGUUGGUGAAGAAGGACAGGGGUAGUAACUGACCUUUGUUUGACGGUAAUCAAUUAGAAAGUCACGGCUAACUACGUG